rnacentral:rRNA from 1 species
GAUUCCGGAGAAGGAGCCUGAGAAACGGCUACUACAACUACGGUUUGGCAGCAGGGAAGAAAAUUGGCCAAUCCUAAUUCAGGGAGCCAGUGACAAGAAAUAGCAAGCCGGGGAGCAAUUGCUUCUACGGUAUUGAAAUGAGAACAGUGUAAAUCUCUUAGCGAGAAACAAUUGGAGGGCAAGCCUGGUGCCAGCAGCCGCGGUAAUUCCAGCUCCAAUAGCGUAUAUUAAAGUUGUUGCAGUUAAAAAGCUCGUAGUUGAACUUCUGUUCAGGGCUAUCUGAUUCUUUAGGUAGUUCUGGACAUACGUCUGCAAGCUAAAAUCGCCCUUAACUGGUGCGACUUAGUAAGUAGACAUUUUACUGUGAAAAAAUUAGAGUGUUUCAGGCAGGUUUUAGCCCGUAUACAUUAGCAUGGAAUAAUGGAAAAGGACUGAGUCCAUUUUAUUGGUUAUUGGAUUUAGUAAUGAUUAAUAGGGACAGUUGGGGGCAUUAGUAUUUAAUAGUCAGAGGUGAAAUUCUUGGAUUUAUUAAGGACUAACUAAUGCGAAAGCAUUUGCCAAAGAUGUUUUCAUUAAUCAAGAACGAAAGUUAGGGGAUCAAAGACGAUCAGAUACCGUCGUAGUCUUAACUAUAAACUAUACCGACUCGGGAUCGGCUGGAACACAUAUGUCCAGUCGGCACCGUAUGAGAAAUCAAAGUCUUUGGGUUCUGGGGGAAGUAUGGUACGCAAGUCUGAAACUUAAAGGAAUUGACGGAACAGCACACCAGAAGUGGAACCUGCGGCUUAAUUUGACUCAACACGGGGAAACUCACGAGCGCAAGACAGAGAAGGGAU